AAUAGAAUACCGGGGUGCUGAGAAAAUCGGCUGAGAGCAGGCUGAAGCCUGAAACCCUUAACUUGAUCCGGGUAAUGCCGGCGUAAGGAAUCAAAAGCAAAAAGGA
rfam:Clostridium leptum CAG:27 genomic scaffold, scf182